ensembl:lncRNA
GGGCUCCACAGUCUGCGCCCGCCGCCGCUGCGGCGCGGGGCAACUGGGAAAAAAAAAGUUCUGCUCAGCGGACCAGUGAGCCUAAAGACCACCGGCCGACCAGUGUACCAACCCCUUCCUCCUUACCUCGAUCCGGAGGCCCCGAGAGCGCGCUGGUCCCGUCCGCACUGCAGCCAGCUUGAAGGAGUCCCUUUCCGACCGGCCAGCUGCCCUCCCGCCCCUCCCCGCCCCCUACGGGUGUUUGCCCAGCGGCAAAGCAGGCUCUUCCAGAAAUGAAGUCACUGAAACUCAAGAUUGGAUGAAGAGUAUAUGAAGAUAGUCAUACUUGCCUCCACGGAAUCCCUGAGGGACUCUCACAAUGUCCAAGGAGGACUUGGAAAUUUGCCCCGAUGGAAAGGAGGAGACUCGAGUCUUGCCUCUUGGCUCCAAUGCUGAAAUCAAAGUACCUAUCAGGCAAAGAGUCUGUUUGAUAGAGCCAAGCUCAGAAGUGUUGGGUAAGGAUUGGAUGGAUACUUCAUUUCCGGGCUUGAGCUCUUAACUCAAGGCUUCAGCAGACCCAGAAGGGAUCAGCAGAUGACUUCUCUCUUCAAAGCUGUGACAGAGUCACCAUGAACUGUUGGAUUUUUCAGAGUGGGACUUGGUUAGAGAAGAACACCCCAAUGGAUCAAAAACGGAGGUUGCUGAAGUUUUUUUUUUUUUUUUUUUUUUUGCUGCAGAUGGGAUUAUUGGCUUGAUGAAGGAACAUGAGCAACCGUGUUCUCAGUCUAGGAUCUGGGUUACUUCUCACCUCCUCCUGCCUAGGCUGGCUUCUUGGGUGUGCAACUUCUGUAGUCACACAUAGCCCUGUGCUCAGCAGGGCCUUGUGCUUGGUUUAAUACUCUAAUGUCAUUGUCUUGAAAUUCAUAAUAAUUUUGCCUUUGAACUUGUGUUUUGUAAGUAAAGUCUGUGAGACAGUGGAGAAUGUGUGAGUAGAGAAGAUAUGUGUCAUGGACGUGCUCACCAACCCUUGCUGCCCCAUAGUGUUGGCAGUCCCUCGAGAGUACAGAAUUCCAGUGAGGGCUCCGCGAGACUCAAAGCAAGUGAAAGGCAAGUCUGUAAGUAAGUGGGGGCAUUGACAGUACUGAGAUGAACCAGAACUUGCUUCAAAUGCAGAAAGGCGGCAAUGGGUUUCUUUGAAACACUAAUGAACAAGGAACCCUAUCAUAUAGUUUCUGAUCUGCAUUCCUUCCCUGUUAUUUGCCAAUGAUCUAUGCUGAAAAUGAUGACAUAGGAGGAAAGGGAAGGUUAGGACAGAUCAUGGUUCUUUUUCCUCAGUCCUUCCUUAUCAGAGAGCUGACGUCAGAGACAGCUGGUAGAAUGUUUGCAUUUAAAAAGUGAAAUAAAACCAGUUGAGUACAUUUUCUUCGAUGUUUCCAUCACUCAGGUAAGAACAGAGUACCUAUGCAUAUACGACUGAUGAACUAGGAAUUGUGUAAUUUUGGUGAUUCUGCCAAUAAAUUAAAUGCUCUCCUAUAGCACUG